rnacentral:rRNA from 1 species
CGGGAAACCGGAGCUAAUACCGGAUAAUAUUUUGAACCGCAUGGUUCAAAAGUGAAAGACGGUCUUGCUGUCACUUAUAGAUGGAUCCGCGCUGCAUUAGCUAGUUGGUAAGGUAACGGCUUACCAAGGCAACGAUGCAUAGCCGACCUGAGAGGGUGAUCGGCCACACUGGAACUGAGACACGGUCCAGACUCCUACGGGAGGCAGCAGUAGGGAAUCUUCCGCAAUGGGCGAAAGCCUGACGGAGCAACGCCGCGUGAGUGAUGAAGGUCUUCGGAUCGUAAAACUCUGUUAUUAGGGAAGAACAUAUGUGUAAGUAACUGUGCACAUCUUGACGGUACCUAAUCAGAAAGCCACGGCUAACUACGUGCCAGCAGCCGCGGUAAUACGUAGGUGGCAAGCGUUAUCCGGAAUUAUUGGGCGUAAAGCGCGCGUAGGCGGUUUUUUAAGUCUGAUGUGAAAGCCCACGGCUCAACCGUGGAGGGUCAUUGGAAACUGGAAAACUUGAGUGCAGAAGAGGAAAGUGGAAUUCCAUGUGUAGCGGUGAAAUGCGCAGAGAUAUGGAGGAACACCAGUGGCGAAGGCGACUUUCUGGUCUGUAACUGACGCUGAUGUGCGAAAGCGUGGGGAUCAAACAGGAUUAGAUACCCUGGUAGUCCACGCCGUAAACGAUGAGUGCUAAGUGUUAGGGGGUUUCCGCCCCUUAGUGCUGCAGCUAACGCAUUAAGCACUCCGCCUGGGGAGUACGACCGCAAGGUUGAAACUCAAAGGAAUUGACGGGGACCCGCACAAGCGGUGGAGCAUGUGGUUUAAUUCGAAGCAACGCGAAGAACCUUACCAAAUCUUGACAUCCUUUGACAACUCUAGAGAUAGAGCCUUCCCCUUCGGGGGACAAAGUGACAGGUGGUGCAUGGUUGUCGUCAGCUCGUGUCGUGAGAUGUUGGGUUAAGUCCCGCAACGAGCGCAACCCUUAAGCUUAGUUGCCAUCAUUAAGUUGGGCACUCUAAGUUGACUGCCGGUGACAAACCGGAGGAAGGUGGGGAUGACGUCAAAUCAUCAUGCCCCUUAUGAUUUGGGCUACACACGUGCUACAAUGGACAAUACAAAGGGCAGCGAAACCGCGAGGUCAAGCAAAUCCCAUAAAGUUGUUCUCAGUUCGGAUUGUAGUCUGCAACUCGACUACAUGAAGCUGGA